GCCUCGGUGGCUCAGUUGGUUGAGCGUCCGACUUCAGCUCAGGUCUUGAUCUCACAGCUUGUGGGUUCGAGCCCCGCAUCGGGCU
rnacentral:tRNA from 1 species